ACAACAGUUGGAAACGACUGCUAAUACCGCAUAAUGUAUUCCUUGGGCAUCCUUGGGAUACCAAAGAUUUAUUGCUGAGAGAUGGCCUCGCGUCUGAUUAGAUAGUUGGUGGGGGUAACGGCCCACCAAGGCGACGAUCAGUAGCCGGUCUGAGAGGAUGAACGGCCACAUUGGGACUGAGAUACGGCCCAGACUCCUACGGGAGGCAGCAGUGGGGAAUAUUGGGCAAUGGGGGAAACCCUGACCCAGCAACGCCGCGUGAAGGAAGAAGGCCCUCGGGUUGUAAACUUCUUUUACCAGGGACGAAGAACGUGACGGUACCUGGAGAAAAAGCCACGGCUAACUACGUG
rnacentral:rRNA from 1 species